rnacentral:lncRNA from 1 species
CGUAUACUAAAAUUCAGUAUAUAGCUAUAUUAAUAAUAGUUAACAAUAGUAGAGUAUAUUAGAAAUCAUCUGAACGUUAAUAGAGUUUUUGAUGUCAAAGCACUGAUAUUCUAGUUACGGAAGCUCGUGCGAUUGGCGCAUGACGUCAGCAACAGAGUAAAGCAUAAUCCCGUCCAUGCGUUCGUAAUACGAACGCGAAUGAAAUUUGAGAAUAGUAAAAAUGAAUGAAUUAUGUUUAGAAGAAACUAAGUGAUUUUUAUAGUUUAGAGGAAAAUAAUUAAACUAUUUCCUUUCAUUUAAAUAGAUUUUCAGUUAUUUGUUUCCCAGUCUCGAUUAUGUUGGGAUCCGGAAAAUAAAAAUUUUCAUAAAAUCGAUAUCUAAUAAAAUUAUUAUAUUUAGUUAGUUGGCAAAAAUUGAUUAUUGGUCUACACAUUAGAAAAUAUAAUCUUUACCAAGGGGAAGAGAAACCCCAAAAAUUGAAACCAUAAAUUUAAUGGAUUGUUAAAAUAACAAAAUGUUUACUUUUUAAAUAGGUAAUGUAAUAGGUAAUCAGAUUUAAGUGACAGGCUCGGAAAAGACAAAAAUAAGUUUUACAGUUUUCAUGCCAUGCACUUUAUUCAAAUUUUGUGAUUGUGAAAUAGACGUACAUACAGCAACUAUGUAGCAGUUUUUAAAAUUUUGCUUUUACGCAAUGUCAGGUUGUUAAGAGACUUGUUUAAUUCUUUAAUUCGAAAGUACAUCCGAGACCUAAAAAAUAACUUCUUCGCUUUAUUAGAACAGUCUACAGUUACACUUUUGGACAUAAGGUUUUCUAAAUAAUUUUUAGUUACCAAAAUGGAAUCACCAUUUGUGGAACAAAAAAUUGUCCCCAGUUACUCAAUAUAUGACAAGAAAUUGCCUGAUGGUGUUGUAACGUUACAAACGUCACAUCUUUGAUAUUUUAUUUUUAAAUAAUUAUUUUACCAUAUUUCCUUUAAUAUUUCAUUAAUAAUUAUCUUCUUCUAUUUGGUUUACCCAUUUCCCCCUUUAAAAAUCGGUUGGCGCUCAUUUAUUAUCCUCUUUUAUUAUCCUCUGUUAUUUCUAUUUAAUAUAUCUCUUUCAUUUAAAUCAUCAUACUGAACAUACCUCGUAUAUUCAUACUCUCCAAAUAUCUGUAUUUUCAAUACGGAACAUGCCGCUACUUCAUAGUACUUGGUUGUCAUUUUAAAUGUCGUUUUCAAUGACAGUGUCACUUCAUCGACUUGACCCCCUACUCCCUGACAUACACUGGAAGGGAAAAAUUAAUCCUUAAAAAGGCAUGUAAUUCGAAAAAUAAAUCAUUUCUAUUUCAUCAAAUCAUCUCUUGGGUUUUUUGGAAAGAAACCACUUUUCUCCCUCCGGGAGUUUCAACAACCCUCAAAUCGCCGGCGAUACAACAACGAGGACCAUGUCAUCAGGGCUGCAACCACAUAACCAAGACUGCAACGACCAACAUCCGUAGGCCUGGUGGAAUACAACAUCUACAACCCCAGAGCCCGUUGCAGAACCAGCAGCAGUACCAUACGACAUCAAGAAGAUACCAUCAGCUACCAAAAGCCAUAAGUAUAAUCCAGAAUUGUUAGUUUUUGGCAAGAAUUUGAAUACAUUUGUUAAUGCAAUUUACUAAGUCAUUUUAUUUAUUAUAUCUUUAUGAACAAUAAACAUGAUUAGUUAAAAACUA